GCUCACUUCAAUAGCACAUAGAAAAAUUGAGAAGGAAACAGAGAUGAUUAGCAUGGGUUCUGCAGGAGGAGGUUGUGCAUGUUUGUAAAGUAUUUCACAUUCUU